rnacentral:tRNA from 1 species
GGAGAGAUGACCGAGCGGUUUAAAGUGUCGGAUUGCUAAUCCGUUGUACAACUCUCAUGUACCGAGGGUUCGAAUCCCUCUCUCUCCU